UGACCCAAGAAACAGGCAGGCCAAGAGCGGAAGCUGUGGGCCAUGGGAAGCCGCGGUGUCAGUGCGGAGGGGCUGACGAGGCGUGGGGUCCAGGACCCUGGGAAGUGGAGGUUGAACCAGCGGCCGUGAGCUGAGAGGGCUGUCCACGGAUGCCUGGGCUCCCAAGAAGAAAAUCUCCAACCGUGCGCCAAAAUCGUCAACAAACAAGCGAGAAGUCCUAGCAGUUCUGCAGCCUGAGGCAGCCCGUGCCGAACAGCCCUCCAGGAGAGACAUCCGACCCGUGAGUCUCUGUGGGUGCGCAGCGGUGCCAGGUCCCAGGAAGGUGGGAAGGCGCAGCGGUGGGGAGACCUGCCCUAGGAGAGCAAGCCCUGAGCAGACUGGUGGCGCGGGCGGGCAGCCAGGGAGGCUCACGUGGGGCCGGAGCCACACCCCCUGGAAGGUUCUAGCGGCCUCUCUGCCGCAGGCAGAGCCGGGGGAGGCUGAGGCCACGGUGCUGCAGACAGAGUCCACAGCGUGGGCGGCCCUGCACUGGAACCCACAGCUGCGCCGCUGCGCCCAGGCCCAGCGGGAAGAGGGUGAGAGUGGACACACCGCCCACACCACCACCACGUCUCAGCGUCCUCCUGCGGUCAUCAGGGCUGGCCACGUUCUCAAUCACUUAAAAUUACAUCCUGAAUACAUUAGCUCUGGCAUCCUGAGAACAUGGUGGACCAGGCGAGGUUAAGGACAUCACCUACAGCUAAAGAAGACCAACCUCACCAGCCUCGCUGGGGCUCACUCCUCCCCCCAGCCUGCCCGCUCCAGGCUCCUUUCCCAUCCCACACCCUCGGCCGUGGGAGGCCCCAGGCCUUGGGCCUCUUCUCAGCCUCGUGAGGAAAUGCCAUCGUGCCCAGACGGACCCCCGAAGGCUCACCUCCACCCCCAGCCCAGCUCUGGACUCCAGUCUCACACGUCCACGUCUCCACCUGACUGUCCUUUCAUCUCCAAAUAAGCACACAGAAAACUUACUUCUGACUUCCACCGAACCCCUCAAUCCCACUGCUCCCAGAGCCUGGGACUCCUGGCUCUUCCACACCUACGUCCAAUCCAUCAGCCAAGCCCACGGGCUCUGCCCCAGAAUCCAUCCUGUGAUGGAUGUGACUGACCCACCACAGUCACACUAGAGUGCACUCUACAACCUGCAACCACAGCCCCAGACCAGACCCUCGGCACUUCGUUCCUUUAAAGCGAAGACGCAUCUGGCCCCUCCUCUGGUCAGAGCCCUGCGCUUCUCCCUGAGGAAGCCGAGCGCCGAGGACACCAGCAGGCUAUGUGUACUGACCACUGAGGGGCGCCCACCUCUGAGCUCGGCCGUGGUUCUGCCCCAGGCCCCUCCCCAGCACGUAGCCCACGCCGCCCCCACUCUGAGCCGCACCCCCAGCACCCUGAGGCCUUUGCAGUCACCGUUUGCUCUGCCUGGCCCUCCUUUCCCUGCUAUCUCCAGUGCCCCUGGGCCCUCAGGAGUCGGCACGAGCCACAGCCCUGCCCUGCACCCGGCACGUGUCACCACCCGUGGGUCCCAGGAGGGCCUGCUCACCAGCCUGCCAUCCACCUCCUCCAACACCCCAGCUCCACGUGGCAGGAACUUGUCUGUUCGCUGCUGCAUCUGAAGUUGAGAGCCCAGGCCGAGACCAGUGAGGACCCAGCAAACGCCUCUGAAUGAUGAAGGAGUGAAGGACUUCUGUAAAAUGACUUCGGGGCAGAGGGACACACAGCCAAGCUGCCCCCACCCGGGCCCAGCGGGGCAGCUGGAGUGGCAGCAGGGCCCUCUCCCACCUUUAAGGGGCCGGUAAGCUGUCCCCUGCAGCCUGUGGGACCCCUUCUCUGAUUCAGCACAGAGACUGAUGGCGAGGUCUGCGCCCCACGUGCCAGGAAGCGGCCGAGGCCCCUUGCGGGCUCCUGGGCAGAGGGUCCUAGGGCCGACACCCCUUCGUGCCUCACUAAAGGGUUUCUCCGUCCACCUCAUGUGACCCUCACAGUGGACCACCGGAGAGCAGGGAGAGCUCUAUCCUGGGAGGGAUGCACCUGGAUGGUCGCAGGGAACACAACAGUCCUGGGAUGGGGAGAUCCGCAGGCCCGGCGUCCAGAUCUGGGUUCAGCUGUCAGCCGGACACAUGCUGCAGGAGCCCCUGGUCAGCCUCUGCCUGCCCUGACCCAACCGAACACCCGUGCAGAACCUGAGUCCCUCUGAGCGCUCGGGACCAGGUAAGGAGCCGCGUCUGCCAGGCCCCUGCCCCAGAGAACUGUCGGGCGCCCCAUGACAGGUGAGCAGAGCGUGGGCAGGGCUGGGACUUGAACCCAGCCCCACCGCCUGAGACUGCAUCAGUCUUAGCACAGGUGGAGCUGAGGGUGUGUGUGCCUGUGUUCCCGUGUCGAGCGCAUGCCUGUGUGUGCCCAUUCCCGCAACAAUGGGCAGCGAGCCAGCCAGGGCUGUCGGCAGCCGGGUACGUGUCUUGACUGGCUCCCAUGUGCAGGGCAGCGUGUCUGUGGUAGGGGGUUUACCCUUGUGUCAGAGCCGUGUUUGUCCAUGUGUUUCUGUGCAGGUGGCGUGUGUACAGGGACGUCUGAGUGUCUCUCUGGGGCCCGGGCACUGCCGUCUCUGUGUCUUCAUCUGCCUGGGGCUGUGGUGUCCACGUGAAUGCCUGCUCCGCUCGGGGGCCUGUGGGCUGGGCGCGGGGGGUGCGGGCAUCUGUGAGUGAAUCUAAGUCUGGGGGACGGUGUGUGGCUCUUGCGCUCGUGCUGGGUUUGGGGAGCACGUGUGUUGACUGGUACAUGGUGGUGCAAGACGGGGACCUUGUGGUUUGUCCCCGUGCACCUGUGUGAUGAGAACUCAGGCCCACCUCCCACCCUAUCAAAGAAGUGGCCCUUCUGCUCCAUCUUUCAGACUGAGAAACAGGAGCUGGGUGAGUACAGAUCUCUGUUCCAAGUCCCACAGCCAGUCAGCGGCAGCUCAGAGCAGACAUGGCUGUCAGGAGCCAUAGUGGGAGAGUGGAAACGGGGGCCCAGGGUAGUGGUACCCAGGCCCUGGCCACACCGGCGGCUGACACCACACCACCGAGGUCUGACCAGGCUCCCUCUUCUGCCUGGAGUCACCGCCGCCCCUGUAGCCACCAGGCACCCCAGGGUCUGUAGCAGGUGAGCUCAGCCAGGGUCCUGCCAUGACCCCGCGGGACAGCUGAGAGAGCAGAGGCGCGGGGAGGGCAGCUGUCCUGUCCAAGGCUCAGGUGGCCGGGGGAGGGCAGGGUUUGAACCCGAGCUGCCCAUCCCAGAGCCCACACCCUGGAGCUCAGGGCCCUGCUACCUCCUAAAGUCUUUGCAGGAUGAAAACGGGGGGUUCCUGCCGCCUGGAGCAGACACGAAACAAGGGCAGAGAUACGAGACUGAGGUUUCUGUUCUCCAGAUACAUCCUGCACACGUGAUCCAGCCUGUUCUAGCAGGGGGCCAGGGCUGGCGGCAGCUUCUCCCCUGUUACAAGGAAUUGUCUUCACAGGCUUGAAAGGACCAGAUCCUAAAGACAGAAGUCGGCUCCCCUCCCGCCCUCGCUGGGCAGCCGGCUCUCGACUGGGUGUUACUUCAACGUCAAGUGUGUGGACCCACACAGGGCCCCGUUCUGAGUCCCGUACAGUGCAGACAAAAAGCUAAAACCCCAGCCACACUACAAAUGAGUGGGCUGACUUUUAUUAUGCCCGCGCCACGUGGCAUGUGGGAUCUUAGUUCCCCAACCAGGGAUCGAAGCCACGACCCCUGCAGCGGAAGUGUGGAGUCCUAACGACUGGACCACCAGGGAAGUCCCUGGACUGACUUUUAAAUGGGCUUUGGAGACCUGGAAGCUCACUAGGAUGUCUGGAGGGCCCGUUCUUGGGACGGAGGGACAGGCUGACGUGGGGCAGGGGGUGGGGACCCAACAGGAGGGAGCAGAGCAGCUGCUCUGGUGGUGACACGUGCCCAGAACUCCAGAGACAGAGGCCCAGGGAGGACACACCCAGAUAUCUGAUGGCGAGACCCCAGUCCUGCACCCUGGUCCCUCCAGAUGGGAGCUUGGAUGGGACUUCUCUGAGAAAACUUCCCACGAAUGCCCAGAACCAAGAACACUGACAGUGGGGUGUCCCAGCCCAGUGACCCUUCCUGGGUAUAGUCAGCAUUUUGGGCCUCUCCAGUGCAGGCUGAGAGCUGAGGGUCACCAGACAUCUGAUGAGAGCCUCUAGCAGGCAAGGUGGAGCGAAACUAGGGAAAGACUGGAAGUCAGAGGAAGCAGAGCUCAAAGGGAGAGAAUUUUGUGAAUAUCCUCGGACAUGAGAAAACAUGGAUUGCGUUGUUGAAACAACAGAAACUUUUUAAAAAGAGAGAGAGAGAGAGUGAGAGGGAGAAACUCUUGCAAACUGGAAAUAUGAUGGCAGAAAAAAAAUUUCAGUAAGGAUUGGAAGUGAAUUGAAGAAAUCGUUCAGAAAAUCAAGGCAAGAAUUGACAUGCAAAAUGGAUACCAAACACGUUUUAAAAUCAGGGAAUUGGCCCAGAGAUCUGAUAUCUAAGCAAGAGUACCAGAGACUCAGAGGAAACCAUGGGGAGCUCCAGACCCAGGCUGGAGAACUGAGCACUUCAGAUUAACCUUUUCCUGGAGGACAACCAGAUAAGGGGAGCAAACCACGUUUUAAUCCUAAAAGCAGCAAAGGGACAAGAGUCAGUGAGAAAGUGCCAGGCUGAGGAACAAAGACCACCGGUGUCUAGUGCGGGGAGCCCAGACUCGGCCCUCAGGCCAGCUGAGGCCCUACAGACCCCACAAACACGGUGGCCCUGCAAACCCACAGCCUGCCUAGGGAGGGGCUGCACCCUGGGAACGAGGGUGACUCAGGCAAGAUCCAGCUCCCUGGGGCCCAGGACAACCACAAGUCGAGAAUCCUCAGAGCAUGAAAGUGCAGACUUUGAACUCGGAGUCACAGGAUUCUAAACAACCAGCACCACCAUGUGUCUGGAAGAAGUAAAAACCAACAAAAAUCCCUCCUGGAGGGAGGGAUUACAUCAGAGUAAUGCCAAUCAUUCCCUCAAAUAUUGCUUCAAAUAUCACCUUCAGCACAAAAUCAAAGAUAAGAGGCGCGUGAAGAAGUGCAAGACGAUGAGCAGCUGCCAGCACAGGACUCAGGAAAACCUCGACGAAACAGCUCUGCUUACAAAACCCAAGGAGGUAGAACAAGUAGAAGCGCGAGGACACAGUAGACUGAACAGCCAUCGACUUGACCUAACUGACACUUAGAGGACACACCACAAGACACAGAAGAAUACAUGCUUUUCAAGUGCACAUGGAACACUUACCAAGAUAGACCCUUAUUCUAGGCUGUAAAACAAGUCUCAAAUUUAAAAGAAUUGAAAGUGAUACAGUGUAUGUUUCUGAUCAUAAUAGAAUUAAAAUAGAAACCAAUACUAGAAUAAGAUAUCCGGGAAAUCUCCAAAUAUUUGGAAACAGUACACUUCUAAAUAACUUGUUAGUUAAAUGAGAAAUCAAGAGAAAUAAGAAAAUGUUUUUAAUGAAUAUAAAAACACAACAUAUCAAAAAUUGUGGGAUUCUCCUAGAGCAGUACUCAGGGAAAUUCAUAGCAUCAAACACCUAUGUUAGAAAAGAAGAAAGACCUUAAAUCAAUGAUAUCUGCUUCCAUAUUAAGAAACUAGAAAUAUAAUAAUAAACUAAGCACAAAAAUAAGCAGAAUAAAGGAAAUAAUAAAGAUCAGAGCAGAAAUCAGUGAAAUAGAGCACAGAAAAAAAAGAGAGAAAAUCAAUGAAACCAAAUGCUGGUUCUUUGAGAGUAUCAAUAAAAUUGAUGAUACGGGGAUUUGCCACUUGUACAGACAUUCAGGAUCGACUGGCACAGACCUUAAAGGAGAUUCCUGAGGGGGCUCUCUUCUGCCCCGCCAGCUCUGGCUGCUGUGCUUCUCCCCUGGUCCUGAUCAAGAGCACCUGUGUGGACCUGGAGAGGUGCUGUUGGUCUCAGGUUACUCUCAGUGAAGACCUGCUAAAGCAGACACAGGAACGCCUUUCAGGACGGAGAGCGCGACCGCCCCCCACCCCCACUCCUUAAGUGUGGGCUGAUGUAAUCACAUCUCCUUCCAGGGAGGACAGUGUGGAAGGCUGGUGGGCAACCUGACAGGAGAGAUGACACACGGCCUCAGCCAGGUGAUCAGGGUCAGCACCAGCACUGAUGAUCCUUGUUGACAGUAUGGACCUCUGAUACGACAUGAUGAGAAGGACACUUUAUCUCUGUGGUCUUCCCCCCAAAGAUCCUUAACCCCAGUCGAAUCAUAAGAAAAACAUGAGACAAACCCUAAUUUGGGGACAUCCUAUAAAAGAGAUAACCCAAACUCCUCAAAACUGUCAAAAAAAAAGAAAAGUAUGAGAAACUCACAGCCAAGAGGAACCUAAGGAAGCAUGACAACUAAAUGUAAAGUUGUGUUCUGGAUGGGAUCCUGGGACAGGAAAAGAACAUUGGGUAAAAACUAAGGAAAUCCAACUAAAGUAUGGACUUUAGUUGAUAAUAAUGUAUCAAUAUUGGUUCAUGAAUUGUAACAAACAUACCCCACACUAAUGUAAGAUAUUAGCAUUAGGGGAAAUUGGGUAUGGGGUGUAUGGGAACUGUCUGUACUAAAUUUGCAACUUUUCUGUAAAUCUAAAACUGCUCUAAAAUAACUGAAAAAUUAAGAACUCUGUUCAUCAAAAGACAUCUUAAAGGAACUGAGAAAAGCUAUAACCUGGGGAAAGAUAUUUGCAAAACAUGGUAAAAAUUAAAAAACACUAAUGAAGUGAAUCAAAGAUGAACCAAAAAAUGAAGAGAUAGACCAUGUUCAUGUAUUGGAAGAUUUAAUAUUGUAAAGAUGUUAAUUCUCCCCAAACUGAUCUAGAUUCAAUGCAAUUCCAAUAAAAAUUACAACAGAAUUUUUUUCAUAGAAAUCAAGUAGCUGAAUCUAAAAUUUACGGAAAAGCUAAGGAACUAAAAGAGCCAAAGCUACUUUGAAGAACGAGAACACUCAGAGCGCUCGCACCAGCUGCUUCAAGCGUAUAAAGCUGCCGUAAUCGAGGCAGUGCGGCGUCAGAGAGAGGACGAGCUUAGGGACAAAUGGAACAGAACAGAAUCCAGAAAUAGACCCAUGAACACAGAUCACUUCCCAAUACAGGCCCAUAUUCUAGAGCAUUAAAUAAAUCUCAAACUCUAAAAGAUUCAAAAUUAUGCAAAGGAUGCGCUCUGAUUACAAUGAAAUUAAAAUAUCUGGAGAAAUAUCUCCAGAAAAUCUCCAAAUAUUUGGAAAUUAAAUAACACUCUUCCAGACAACCAUGGUCUAUCUAUAUAAUGGAACGGGCACAGACACCCUGGACAUGCCUCAAAAACAUGCUGACAGAAGCCAGAGACAAAAGAGGGGAUAUUGGGUGGUUCCGUUUCUCUUACAUUCUAGAAAGAAACAGAAUUAAUCUAUGAAGAAAAGAAUCAGAACAGUGGCUGCCUCAAAGUGGGGGAUUAUGGGUUGACUGGGAAGGAGCAUGCUUCUGGGGUGAAGGAAGUUUGUAUCUUGAUGAGGUGCGGGUUCCAUGCAUGUGUGCAUUCGUCAAAACUCAUCAAACUUAACACUUAAGGUCUGUGCGCUUCACUGUGUAAAUUACACCUCAAUAAAGAAAUUUAGAAAAGGAUAUAAAGAGAACUCCUGCAAAUCAAUAAGUAAAAGGUGGCACCAUGGAGAGAAAUGGGCAAAAGACACACACACACACACUCACACACACACACACACAGAGGCAUCUCACAGAAGCAGAAACACUCACUGACACUAACCAUAGCAAGAGAAGCAGCGAAAGACGAUUCCCAGUGAGAUGUUAUUUUUAGCCUCCAAAUUGGCAAAUAUUAGGAAAUCCACCAACACCAUCUGUUGUAGAGGGUGUAGUUCAAUGGUAGGAGUGUAAUCACUACAGCCACUUUGAGGAAAGAACUUGGCAUUUUCUUGCAGUUGCAUGUGAAGUGCAGCCCCAGCACUCCCAUUCAUAGGGGUGGCUGCAAGAGAAACCCUGGCGCCCCGCACUCAGGAGCUGCGCACAAAGAACAAAUGCACAGAUCGUGAGGCAGACACGAUAGGAUGUUACUGCGCAGGUGUCAGAAUGAAUGCAGUACAGCUACCACAAAGAGUAAGAAUC